rnacentral:rRNA from 1 species
GACGGAAGGUGCAAGCGUUGCUCGGAAUCACUGGGCGUAAAGGGUGCGUAGGCGGCUUGGUGGGUCUGGUGUGAAAGCCCCGGGCUCAGCCCGGGAAGGGCACUAGAAACUGCCGAGCUGGAGUGCCGGAGGGGAGAGUGGAAUUCCUGGUGUAGCGGUGAAAUGCGUAGAUAUCAGGAGGAAUACCGGUGGCGAAGGCGGCAUCCUGGACCAAUACUGACGCUGAGGAGCGAAAGCCAGGGGAGCAAACGGG